CGCGUAGGCGGUUCGUACAGUCAGACGUGAAAUUCCCGGGCUCAACCUGGGGGCUGCGUUUGAUACGUGCGGGCUUGAGUUCGGAAGAGGGUCGUGGAAUUCCCAGUGUAGAGGUGAAAUUCGUAGAUAUUGGGAAGAACACCGGUGGCGAAGGCGGCGACCUGGUCCGAUACUGACGCUGAGGCGCGAAAGCGUGGGGAGCAAACAGGAUUAGAUACCCUGGUAGUCCACGCCGUAAACGAUGUGUGCUGGAUGUUGGGCAGCUCAGCUGUUCAGUGUCGUAGCUAACGCGAUAAGCACACCGCCUGGGGAGUACGGCCGCAAGGUUGAA
rnacentral:rRNA from 1 species